CUGACUAAAAUGUCCAUUCAACUUACUACAUCUUCCUUUACCCAUCUCUGUGGUCGGUUUACCCAUAAGAAAACUUUAGACCCCCAAAUCUCACACAAAAAUUAACCCUUUCUCAUCUGGUGAUCGCUGAAUCAAACCCCCCAAAAUCAUACCCUCGAAUCAGACAAUCACAUCUCCGGCGGUGUGAUGCCGUCGCCAUCCAACAGAUUUCAAUUCACACUGGUGCAACUGAUUUCAAUCCAUUGGUGGUGGGAGGAGAAAAUCUAACAGAUUUCAAUAUCAUUGCCCCCGUUUAUCCCUGAAAAUCUAAAUUAUCUACGUCAAUCCGCACUAUCAUCUACAUCAUUGCCGCCAUCAAAUCACCAACACCAUCGGCGUCAAUCGCCAACAACACCGGCGGCAUCACCAUCGCAUAAAUAAAGAUUAUGACCCAUAUUUUACUUGAUCAAGGUUAUGACCCAUAUUUUACAUAACCACUGUCUCCAUUAAGAGAUCAGAUCUUUUGGUUUUUCCUCCAUCACCGUCGUUCCAGAAAACACCGCCUUGCAUACCCUCCAAACGUCGUUCCUCCUCCUCAGGUUAUAUUUUAUGAGCCGGAUUAGAAUCUUCAGGUGGACAAGCACGUUCUAUGGUGGGCACAUAUAAUUGGUGUAGCACACCUGAAUUUCAGCAUGGGCCGUCAAGGCAGGAAGUUAUAUACAAGUGAUAUGCUUUCUCUGUUUCAAUAUUGCUCGAUUGUAAAAUUCCUCUAUGUAUAAUGCUGCAAAUGUUGUCCUAAUAGAGGUAAAUAGAGUAGCCUCUUUUACAAAUACAAGUGAUCUGUCAAAUUGAUAACCCUGUUUCAUAAAAGCAUUGAUCAUUUUAUUUGAGUUGAAAAGUGAAAAUACAUAAUUAAAUGUCA